rnacentral:misc_RNA from 1 species
AACUUUUAGCAACGGAUCGCUUGGCUCUCGCAUCGAUGAAGAACGCAGCGAAAUGCGAUAAGUAAUGUGAAUUGCAGAAUUCAGUGAAUCAUCGAAUUUUUGAACGCACCUUGCGCUCCCUUGUAUUCCGGGGAGCAUGCCUGUUCUAGUGGCGUGAAAUUCUCAAACUGAGAUGCUAUUUUUGUUUCUCGGCGUGGUGGUGGGCUUGGCAGUCCCCGUUGAUUGGGAUGGCUGGCCUCAAAAGCAUUAGCUGGCUUUUCAUGUGGUUUUGGUUCUACUCAUGGUGUUAAUGAUCUGACCGCCGAGGACAUCUUUCGAGAUGGUCAAUUCUGAUGUGGGCUGAUUCUAAUCUUGGUCGGGCAGAUUCUGAGUCUGUCCCACUUCUCAACUUUUGACCUCGAAUCAGGUAGGACUACCCGCUGAACUUAAGCAUAUCAAUAAGCGGAGGCU